rnacentral:tRNA from 1 species
UAGUGGAUAGAAGCUAGUUGGAUAAGGCGCCUGGCUGUUAACUAGGAGCUUAUGGGAUCGAAGCCCAUCUAUCCAG